UACAGAGGUCUCAAGCGUUGUUCGGAUUCAUUGGGCGUAAAGGGUGCGUAGGCGGCGCGGUAAGUCGGGUGUGAAAUCUCGGGGCUUAACUCCGAAACUGCAUUCGAUACUGCCGUGCUUGAGGACUGGAGAGGAGACUGGAAUUUACGGUGUAGCGGUGAAAUGCGCAGAUAUCAGGAAGAACACCAAUGGCGAAAGCAGCUCUCUGGGACGGUACUGACGCUGAGACGCGAAAGCGUGGGGAGCGAACAGG
rnacentral:rRNA from 1 species